AAAAAGAAAGCUCGUGCCAUUGCUACUGAGGUAGGAGCUUCUGGUAGGAGGGUUGGUGCCCGUACUAUACCAACCUCCAAUAUACCACUUUCGACACAUGAGGUGCCCUCAUCACUACCAUCAAAUGGGGGGGUGAACCUAACUCCUGCGCUACAAGAGAGGUUGAUUAACUUUAUGGAUUCUAUGGAAAAAAGAGUUAGCAACCUCGAGAAAGCAAGGGACAAGAAGGCCAUCACCCGCGAAAGAGCGGGUGAAUCUGGGUCUUACUAUCCUCCGUCUACGGAGAAAAAGAGGAAAUCUCCAGCGCCUCCUAAGGAAAAAGCUGGACCUAGCAAGAGUCGCACUCACAGGACUCUUACA
rnacentral:lncRNA from 1 species